UCCUGGUUGCCGGCAACGAUUGCUAUCGGUCACUAAUCCCCGGUCGGCGAAAAGGGCAGUAGAAUAUUUUUUUUAUCAAAUAAUUUUCAUUAAAAAUAGUUUUUGAUAAAAUUUAUUCAAUUUAUAUAUAAAAGUUCUUAUUGCAUUCAUAAUUUACAGUUUAAUAUUGCGAAAUUUCAAAUAUUCAGUUUGCACAAACGUGACAACGAAUACUAAUACGUGUAAACUUAUGCAAAAGGUACAUGCAUAAUCUUCCAGUUCUCUGUGAUUCCAGUGAGUGACGAAUCUGUGGCAAGUUGAACUCCGAACACAAGAACUAAUUAACAAUUUGCAAAACCAUGCUGUUGGCAGUGGCCAGGGCAAGGGAUGCAUCAAUGGAUAAGUAAGUAACCAUUGUGAGCCGACUGAUCCUAUGACCGGAGAUCGGAAUUGCUUGAUUUGUUUCGUCUACUACUACUGGGAAUUAUGUUUAAGUUCUGUGUAGUGAUCUGCACAAAUUUGGUAAAGAACCAUCGUGCAUGCCUCUUGCGUGGUGCUGACAUUUGUAUUUACAUUCGUGAAUCAACUCUCUACCUUCUUAUAUAUAAAAACCUGAGAGCCAUGGCUGAGGAAAUCCAAGAAGGGUAGCUGCUAGAGGUGGAGAAAUAAAUGGGAAUGGGUCCAGUUCGCCUGGGAUCAAACGCAGUGGCUCAAGUAGCAGCACUGCUCUUGCUGAUAUCCAUAAGCGUGACCGCAGCAUCUGCACAACUGAAGACCCAGAAUCCCUGGGCGCCAAAAAAACUGGGCGAUUGCCAAGGAGGCAUCGACGGCGCCGUCAGCUGCGAAGUGAAGUGUAAUUUGCUAGGCUGCAUGGCAGGAUGUCUAAUAAAUAACCAUCCGGGAUGCGUCCUAGCCUGUUUAGCCGAAAAUAUUAGUUGCCAGAGUACCUGCAGCUUUGUUCCAUUUCCACCAGACCCAUCACCACCGCCAGCACCACCAGCACCACCAGCACCUCCACCGAAGGCCUGAAUGAGUGGAUGGACGGACGGCGUUUCUGUAUUACGUAUUUGUUGCAAACAAUUGCAUGUCUCUGAAAUAAAUAAAAAUGAUAAUAAGUAGCAACGCCACUAGACUAGUCCUCUAUAGAGCUAGUGUUCCCAUAUAAUUGAUUUCUACGUAGAUUGUGUCUUGAACUGUAUUGUAUCAUGGAUGAGGGGAUGCAAAAAUAUGUAGUAAAGAAUUCUGUUUUUGCAAUAAUAUCUGAUGAUUGUGCCAA